AGAGAGAGAGAGAGAGAGAUCUUCACCAAUUAAUGUUAACUUGUGUGUAUGAGAUUUUAUUUAGUUGGUAAUUUAUGGCAAGAAUGUGCUUUAUAAUAAUGAAAGAUAUAUGAAAAACACAAUGUAGAAAGUACUUACCUGAACUUUUGAUUUUGUUUUUGUGUCAAUCAAUUGUAACCUUAAGGCAGGAGUCCAUAAGAAUUUAUGUAUUGGUAUUACAAAAUAAACCCUAAAUCUUAUAACAAACCAAAAUACCCAGUGAACCUUAAACAAUAAUCUUAUACUUUUUUUUACUGAAAUAAGUAGUCCUAAAAUCUCUAUUUUGUGGUUUGCCGCUUUGACUUGCACAUUUGAGAAUCAGGGAGUUAAAACUACCCUAAGAGUAUGAAGGUAUCACAAAAAUAUAUAUUUGAGGUAAUUAUUGACUUUGAAACUAAUGGAUUUGUGAUAUUUUAUUUGUAACUACAGUGAGAGGCUCAAACAAUCAGUCUAGUAGGAUGGAGUAGCAUUGAUGUAUCUUUCUUAUAGCUUUCUCAUGGAGAUCAGCUAGUGGUUUAUUGAUAGCAAGUUCUGCAUGCUUAUGUCUAAAACUCUGCUAAUUU
rnacentral:misc_RNA from 1 species